CGAGAAUUUUUGCUUGACUUGAUUUUCUUUCCUCUUUAAGGCUUUUUUCUACCUCUGCCAUUUAAAAGCCUCCUCUCCGAUUCCCCGUAUCAGUAAAGAUGGAUAUCAGCAACAACAACUGAGUAGUAAAAAUAAUCUCAACGGAAACUGGAUGUAAGACAGUGGUGAGAGUGUGAAGAUGACAGGAGCGGGUACUCCAGAAACUGCAUCCUGAGAAGCCUUCUGCCAUUCGGGGGUAACUGGAUUCCUCAGAAAGGAAGCUAACUGAAAGGACAAGGUUGCCAUUUUACUUUUAGCACAGAAAUUGGCUCGAGGCUGGCGCUCUUAUCAUUAAUCCAGCCCCAGGUGCCCACCAACGUGUGCCUGGACUGCAUGGAAGAAGUUUGGGACCCUGAUGUCCAAACUCGGUCUGUAACUAAGUACUUCUACUUAGAGCGACACAAACGUGACCCUUUACCAUCAGAA